CAAAAACAUUGCCUUUAGACAUAGAAUUAAUUAAAGGUAUGCCCUGCCCGGUGAAUUUUUUUUAACGGCUGCGGUAAUUUGACUGUACUAAGGUAGCACAAUCAUUUGCCUUUUAAUUGGGGGCUGGUAUGAAUGGGUAAACGAGAAUAGUGCUGUCUCUUUUUUAGUGGGGGAAAUUAGCUUUUAAGUGAAUAGGCUUAAGUAGUAAAAAAAGACAAGAAGACCCCAAAAGCUUGUAACAGAGCCUUGUUUAUUUUUUUAGCGGGGUUAUUGUUUUGGUUGGGGCGACAAAGGGCUAACUAUAGCGCCCUUUAUUUUUUGAGAAAUUAAUUCUUUUUUGAUCCAUGAGAGUGAUUAUAAGAAAUAGCUACUUUGGGGAUAACAGGCUAAUUCUUUUGGAGAGUCCAUAUUGAUGAAAGAGUUUGGCACCUCGAUGUUGGCUCAAGGUUUCCUAUAGGUGCAGGAGUUUAUAAUGGUAGGUUUGUUCACCCUUUAAAACCUUACGUGAGCUGAGUUCAGAC
rnacentral:rRNA from 1 species